rnacentral:rRNA from 1 species
AGCGCGGUAAUUCCAGCUCCAAUAGCGUAUAUUAAAGUUGUUGCAGUUAAAAGCUCGUAUUGAAUUUUAGCUGCGGCGGUCGUCUUUUGCGAGUACUGUCUGUGUCGGGUCCACCUUUUGGUGAACAGUAUGUCCUUUAUUGGUGUUUUGGGGGAGCAGACAUACUUGAAAAUUAGAUGUUUAAAGCAGGCAUUUGUUGAAUAG